AGGUUUGUUUGGGUUUCUCAAAAACCAAAGCUGUCUUAAGAACACCGAUAUCAGCCUGUCUCUCGCCAUGCGAAAGCACUGGUACAGUACAGGACAGAGAAGUGCUGUCUUGAGAUCAAAAGUUUCCUUUACCUUGUGGAGUGGAUUGGCAUGAAGACUGUGGAUUUGGGCAGUCAAGGCAGGCAAUCACAAAGGAGAAGCUGAAGCCAUGUGAAGUUGAAGGGCCUGGCAGGAGUCAUCCUUCAUUUGGACACAUCCACAACAAACAGCUCUCCCUGAGACUGACCACAGAGUGUGCAGCCAAAAAAAUGAACCUGGUUGUUGUGUUGAAAUCUGUUCUGGAGUACUGGGAAGUAGAAGAACAACAUCAGCCUUCUAUAUUGUUCUCACCACAGAAUUCAGCUGAGGAUGCUGCCGAUCAGCUUUUGAGUUCUGAACAUUGAGAAACCCUCUUGCUUUCACCUGUUCAGCCAUGGUCAGGACAGGACAACCAAAG
rnacentral:lncRNA from 1 species